UUCGGUGACUAUAGCGGAGAGGAUACACCCGUUCCCUUUUCGAACACGGAAGUUAAGCUCUCCAGCGCCGAUGGUACUGCGUGGGGGACUGCGUGGGAGAGUAGGACGCCGCCGGAA
rnacentral:rRNA from 1 species